ensembl:lncRNA
UUACUCUAUAAGUUUUAUCACACAAGGUUUUUGUCCGUUAUCACACGUUGUACUCUUACCACUUUCAGUGCAUUCCACAACUGAGAGCGGUGUUGGGGGAGGGACGUAAUUUACAACUUCUAUCCGAAAACCAUUUCUAUCCCCACCGACUUUUUCUUAAAGCCGUGUUUUCGGUAUUUCACUCCUUUAGUUCACAACAGUUUCCGACGUUCACGACUUCCUUGACUCUGGAGAGAAUUGCCGACCAAGAUAUAAGGAAACAAGCUGAUGAAACAGUUCAUAUAUUGAAUGAGUUGUUACAAGGCAGAGGGGGUGAAUCCCUCUACUGUCAUCCACUAUUCAUCGAGCCCUCUGGCGGAGCUCACAAAUAUUUCACCUGUUACAACCGGCAACGUCUACAGAAACGUAUACAGAGGUCACUGUGGCUUAUAACAUACAUCUAA